rnacentral:rRNA from 1 species
GGGGNUUAACUUCGGGGUGGCAGGCGAUACGGGCAUAACUAGAGUGCUGUAGGGGAGACUGGAAUUCCUGGUGUAGCGGUGGAAUGCGCAGAUAUCAGGAGGAACACCGAUGGCGAAGGCAGGUCUCUGGGCAGUAACUGACGCUGAGGAGCGAAAGCAUGGGGAGCGAACAGGAUUAGAUACCCUGGUAGUCCAUGCUGUAAACGGUGGGCGUUAGGUGUGGGGACCGGUUUGGUUUCUGUGCCGUAGCUAACGCAUUAAGCGCCCCGCCUGGGGAGUACGGCCGCAAGGUUAAAACUCAAAGGAAUUGACGGGGGCCCGCACAAGCGGCGGAGCAUGUGGAUUAAUUCGAUGCAACGCGAAGAACCUUACCUGGGUUUGACAUGCACCAGACGGUUGUAGAGAUACGUACCUCCCUUUGUGGUUGGUGUGCAGGUGGUGCAUGGUUGUCGUCAGCUCGUGUCGUGAGAUGUUGGGUUAAGUCCCGCAACGAGCGCAACCCUUGUCUUAUGUUGCCAGCACUUUGGGUGGGGACUCAUGAGAGACUGCCGGGGUUAACUCGGAGGAAGGUGGGGAUGACGUCAAAUCAUCAUGCCCUUUAUGCCCAGGGCUUCACACAUGCUACAAUGGUUAGUACAACGCGCUGCGAGCCUGUGAGGGUGAGCGAAUCGCUGAAAGCUAAUCUCAGUUCGGAUUGGGGUCUGCAACUCGACCCCAUGAAGU